rnacentral:sRNA from 1 species
ACAAUGAAAUAAAACCGUAGACAGCGGGUGCGAAAGCUUAAUUUCCCGCCGAGGUACAAUAUAAAAUAUUGACCUUGCAUACUGCGGAAAACGAAAGCAUGCAAGGUUUUUUUAUG